AUUAUAACAGCUAUAGACUACACGGUAAAUAUUUUAGUUGGAUAACUGAGGUAAUUCUUGAGCUAAUACACGCUAUUUAUACCACAUUAGUGGUGCGUUUAUUUGAUUAAACCAUUUUAUAUUGGUUGACUCAAAAUAUCCUCGCUGAUUUUGUUACUAAAACAUACCGUAUGUGUAUCUGGUUUAUCAACUUUCGAUGGUAGGGUAUUGGCCUACCAUGGUUGUGACGGAUAACGGAGAAUUAGGGUUCGACUCCGGAGAGGGAGCCUGAGAAACGGCUACCACAUCCAAGGAAGGCAGCAGGCGCGAAAAUUACCCAAUUUUAGUUAAAAGAGGUAGUGACGAAAAAUGACAACCAAAUAUUAUUAUUAAUAUUUGGAUUGAAAAUCUUCAAGUAUAAAUAACUUGUUGGUAAAGGAAAGGGCAAGUCUGGUGCCAGCAGCCGCGGUAAUACCAGCUUUCCAAGUGCAUAAAAUGAUUGUUGUGGUUAAAAAGCUCGUAGUUGGAUUAUAAAGAUUGUAUAAUGAGCAUCUUGGAUGUUAUUUAAUCAUUAUCAUCUUAUAUUUUUAUUAUAUUAGAAAUAAUAUAAUAACUGUUACUUUGAAUAAAUCAGAGGGUUUAAACCAGACAUUAUAUGUUUGUAUGGUCUAGCAUGGAAUAACACUAUAGAAAAAUUUAGUGUGGUUUCACUUAAUUUUUCAUGAUUAAUAGGAACAAACGGGGGCAUUCGUAUCGCUACGUUAGAGGUGAAAUUCUUGGACCGUAGCGAGACGUCCUACUG
rnacentral:rRNA from 1 species